AGCGAACGCUGGCGGCAGGCUUAACACAUGCAAGUCGAGCGCCCGUAGCAAUACGGGAGCGGCAGACGGGAGAGUAACACGUGGGAACGUACCUUUCAGUUCGGAACAACCAAGGGAAACUUUGGCUAAUACCGAAUACGCCCGUAAGGGGAAAGAUUUAUCGCUGAAAGAUCGGCCCGCGUCUGAUUAGCUUGUUGGUGAGGUAAUGGCUCACCAAGGCGACGAUCAGUAGCUGGUCUGAGAGGAUGAUCAGCCUCACUGGGACUGAGACACGGCCCAGACUCCUACGGGUGGCAG
rnacentral:rRNA from 1 species